UAAGGCCCCAUUUAAAUCCCAGUGCU
rnacentral:piRNA from 1 species